GACGAACGCUGGCGGCGUGCUUAACACAUGCAAGUCGAACGGAAAGGCCCUGCUUGCAGGGUACUCGAGUGGCGAACGGGUGAGUAACACGUGGGUGAUCUGCCCUGCACUUCGGUAUAAGCCUGGGAAACUGGUUCUAAUACCGGAUAGGAGCCAUUUUUAGUGUGAUGGUUGGAAAGUUUUUUCGGUGUAGGAUGAGCUCGCGGCCUAUCAGCUUGUUGGUGGGGUAAUGGCCUACCAAGGCGGCGACGGGUAGCCGGCCUGAGAGGGUGGACGGCCACAUUGGGACUGAGAUACGGCCCAGACUCCUACGGGAGGCAGCAGUGGGGAAUAUUGCACAAUGGGCGCAAGCCUGAUGCAGCGAGGCCGCGUGGGGGAUGAAGGCCUUCGGGUUGUAAACUACUUUCGCUAGGAACGAAGCUUUUUGAGACGGUAAAUAGAUAAGAAGCAACGGCUAACUACGUG
rnacentral:rRNA from 1 species